rnacentral:rRNA from 1 species
CAGCAGCCGCGGGAAUACAGAGGGUGCGAGCGUUAAUCGGAUUCACUGGGCGUAAAGCGUGCGUAGGCGGCUUUUUAAGUCGGAUGUGAAAUCCCUGAGCUUAACUUAGGAAUUGCAUUCGAUACUGGGAAGCUAGAGUAUGGGAGAGGAUGGUAGAAUUCCAGGUGUAGCGGUGAAAUGCGUAGAGAUCUGGAGGAAUACCGAUGGCGAAGGCAGCCAUCUGGCCUAAUACUGACGCUGAGGUACGAAAGCAUGGGGAGCAAACAGGAUUAGAUACCCCUGUAGUCCCUGUCUCUUAUAC